rnacentral:lncRNA from 1 species
UUUUUUUUUGCACAGAAAGGCUACAUUUGAUCAAUUCAACUGGUAAGUAAUUCAUUUUUAUACUUAAAACUUUUUUUUUUUGUACAUUUCUUUUAAAACUAAUUUUCAAAAUAAAAACUAAAUGUUUUUCUUCUUCUUGGGGGUUACCCGGCCAUUAGGACCAUCUUGUUAUCAUAUUCAAUCCUCUGGUUCUCCUUGUUUGAUGCUCUUGCUUUGUAGUCAGGACUUCCAUUAAGAGAUUAGACAUUUAUCAUUGUCACCCGCCCUCUAAUAAUUUUACUGCAUAUCUAAUUACGAUUAUAAUUAUUUCUUAAAUAUUGGUAUUGCUAAUGUCAUCUCUUGAGAACUCUUAAUACUAAUUACGGCUAUUAAAUUUUUCGUACACCCGUUGGCCAUCUAUGUAUAUUUAAUAAAUGAUAAUAGUAUAUUAUUCUAUAGUGAUUAUUAUGAUAUAUGUUGUAUAUAGCUAGCAAAAUCGAAUUUAUAUUAUAUUAUGUAACCAUAAUUCUGAAAGAUGCUUUACUAAAAAUGGUUUUCCUUAAAGGAAUGUUUUAUUACAUACAUUUUUUUUAUAUAGUACCUACAUAAUUCUUAAAACAAUAAAAUAAGAAACAAAAGUCUAAUAGAUAAGUUUAAAACGGGUAUUAACCGAAACCGAAACCAAAACCGAUAAAAUCGUAAAUGUCUCAGUUAUUGAUUUAAAUAUAAGUGCCUAAUUUUUUAAUGAUGCAGAUGCCGAUAGUGGUAUAGCAAAUUAUGUAGCCAUAAAUUCUCAGUGGGGUAAGUAUAACUCAGUUAACUCGAUAAUCAUUUUUAAUAACAUGUAUGUUUUAAGCUUUUUGAAAAAUACAGUUGAAACUCAUUAGAGCAUUAUAACAUUAAGUUCAGUAUUUCAGAUAAGCAUUGGGUCCAUAAACUAUGGUUAACAUUAAAUUAUAAUUUAUGUUUUUUUUCGUUAUACAUUUUAAAUUACGAGCCUUGUAGUAUAAUGCACAUAACAUAAUAGGUAUUUAUAUAUAGGUAUAUAUACAAAGUAAUAUUAAAAUAACACAAACAAUAAUACAAAAAUAUGAUAAAAGUAAAAUUUUUAGGAGUGCUGGAGCUUCUAAGCUAAUUUUAUAACAUUCAAGGCGCACUUAUUAUUUAAAUAGUGAGCAUCACACAUAGAGACAUUAAAAGGAGAAAAUUUACGUGCGUUAUUACUACUUUAGACCCUUAAAAUGGUUUCAUAUUUGAAAUACGUAAAAAAUAAUUUAGGUAACCCAUGUCUAAUAUACUUGAUUAAGUCAUUUUUGUCUGGUAUUAUUAUUAUAUUUUAUAUAGGUAGAUAUUUUUAUUAUUUAUGGCCCAGUACCAAUCCAUUACUGCCAUUUCCGGCCUUUCACGGUGCCAUUUAUGAUAGUGUCUUGUAUUCUAUGAUCAAUCUAUCGUGAGACAUUCAUUAUUUCGGAAUAUAUUAACUUUUUUGUAAUUUGUUUUAUAGAAUAUUUAAGAAACAAGCAGCUCUACAAUUUUAUAUUUAUGUUAUUUCUCGACUUCUUGUUACUCUUAUUUUCGAGGGUAAAACCAAUACCUAAUUUAAACUCUUAAAUUAGAUUAGACUAUUAGAGUUCAGACGACCUUUGGUGUUUAAUGAGACGUAAAAAUAAAUUUUACAGUGUAAAAAAUAAAUUUAUUGUUUUCAAUUUUACCGAUUGUAAAAUGGCAUUGGUUCGUUGUUAUUAGGUUAAACCUAUAUUUUAGACACCUGUAGUUUUUAAAAAAUAUUUAUAUUAGCCUUUUGUGUGGCAAUUGAAAAUAUAUUUAAAAAUAACACUAAAUAUGUAUUGAUUAUUGGUUGCCCCCCUGAUGAAAUUUCUAGCUACGCUCUUACUGAACGAUGUACAAAACAUCUGAAAUGAGCUGAUUUUAAUAAUUAAUAUUAUUUUAUUAACACAAUCUAUAAACCGUGAGAACGCUUUGAAAACAGUCGGAUGGUUGUAAAUCAUUUUUAAGUCUUUAUCUAUACAUAAAUGUACCAAUACAUUUUUAAUGCCAUCAUAUUAUUUUAACAGAAAGUACAUAGUAUGAAAUAUUCAUAAAACACAAUAUAUGUUAUCAAAACGAUUUAUUCAUAUUUAAUUGUUUAGGCGCGAAUUGUAAGGACAUAAAGGAAAAUGGUAAGUUUCUUUUUUUAAUCACUUAUAACAAGGCUGCCCAAACCCAGGCCUGUCAACACAUUUGAAUUUGCUCGCCAACAUUCUAUUGUAUUUUUAAUUUUAAUUUCUUUAAAUUUCGUUGUGUAGUGUAUUUUGUUUUAUAUUUCGUUUUAGAAGUGUGUGUUUAGUUAUUAUUAGGUACGGGUUUAUUUUUCAUGAGCUCAUCGGUAUUAUUUGUACAGAACUUCAACAUACUUGAUCGAAAGCUAUAAGGGAAGGGGACUGUUCGUUGUCAAUAAUGUUCAAUUUGGUUCACGAUUUUAAAGCGUAGCUAUCCUUUUUUUCUAAUGAAUUUGGCUAGAAACAAUAUCGAUAAUUUUCCUACGCGUGUAGAUAUAAUAGGAAAACUAAAAUACUUCGAUGGACAUCUCGAAAUACCAAACAAUUCCAUUAUUGUUGCAGUAUUUCGAGAAUAGAUUUCAGGAUUUCGAGUAGGACAAAAAAAGCAUUUUGCUUUUUAUGAACCCAUUUCAAUCACUGUUACUGAAAUAUUAAAAUAUUUAUCCAUUAUUCAGUUGGAAAUCACAGAAUUUCAAAACCAUUUUUCCUUGAGGCAGAUAUUUACCGAACUGUAUCAUCACAACCACAGAACUUAAGAAAAUGUAAUACAAUUUUUGAAAUUAGUACCAAAGGAAGACUUCCCUGCAACGUGCGAUCUUGCCUUGCAGAUUUUAAGCAGAUUUAUAGUUCAACAUAUAUUUGCGAAAAAGCUUUUUCUACCUUAACCUGUGUAAAAAAUAAAUAUCGUAGUUUGUUAACUACGCCUCAAAUUUCAGAUUUGAUUUUUUUAUCAACAUCAGAUUUAUUACCAAAUAUUAAAAAAUCAUUUACUAAUAAGCCUCUUUAUAGGUAUCACUAAUGUUUUUAUUUUUUUAUAUUAUUAAAACAUCAAUUGAUUCAAAUACAUAUCUAUUUAACUAUUUAUGUAUAGAAGAAUCAUAAGUGUAAGCAAGUCUUGUUUAUAAGAUGGCUCUCCAGCAAAAUGUAAUUGAAAUUAUUGCCCACUUCUAAUAUAAAUUGAGCAGCCUUGACCUAUAAUAAAUUACAGCAAUAUCACAUUAUUAAUAAUAUACCUAUUUUGUUUUUGUUUAAUCCAAGAAAUGUUACAAAGCUACUGUCUUUAUCUCAAAGACAACUACUCUCUUAACAGUAUGUAAAUUAAUAAUACCUUGUGAAUUAAAAUAUUGUUUUUUUCACCGUUAAUAACUUUGCAGUAAACUAGAGUUAUAAAUUAUUAACUAUUUGGUAGGGAUAGAUUUACGCUUAAUAUAAUAUUGUGAUAACACAUAAAAUGAAUAACCUUUUAAUUACGUUCGCACUUUGUCAUAACAUAAAGAAAGAAGGUUAGAAUAGGGUAGUUGGUGGUGCAAUACAAAAAUAAAAUAGCUUAAUAAUUAUGUUAUUACCUUUCUUCUGAUGUUUGGAGGGAUUCAGAGUCCGAAAGUCGUGAAUCCCAAAAUGGUGAUGAAAUCAAUAAAUUAGAAAUACAAUAUUGUUUUACCUGCCCACGGUGUUAGAACCUGUAUACCUGUUUCAUAUCCUUACGUGAUUUUGAAUUCGUUGGAUGGCAUUCACAAUUAAAAUAUUCAAAUUUAAGUAUUUAACACUUUGAAACUGCAUGCUCUCAGAUAACAAUUAUAUUCAGAUUUUAUUCUUAGAAAAGAAAAAGAUUAAACUAUUAAAUAAAUUUACAACGAAAUUGAACAAGAAUGAUUAGCUACAAAAAGUCAGAGCUAUUUGAGAGAGAUUUUCGAAAGGAGUUGGUGGUGCGCACUUGUUUUGUGUUCUCGACAAAAUUAUUAUCCAGAAGAUUUCUCGCGCGAAUGAGACGCUCGAUAUAUCAAGUAAAAGAUCAUUCUUAUUUUAUACUAUAUUAUUUUAUGGCACGAUUUGUCGGUUUCAAUAUGUACCUAAUUGUUUUAAUCAACUAUUUAUAUAGCAUAAAUAUUUAAUUGAUUUCAAAAUAAUAAACGGUAUCUAACCUACAAAAUAAUGCAAUACAUCUAAUAAAUAUCAUUCAUGAAUUUACGAUUUGUUUGAUGUGUAUCUGUAAUUUUAAAAUAUAGAUAGUUUAUAUACUUAAGUUUUAGUCAUAACAUAACAAAUUUUUAUAUUUCACAACAAAAGAUCAACUUACAAAAUUAUUUUACAAAAGUAUAUUACAAAAUUAAUUAAUUUUUUUUUAGGUAGAAUAAAUCAAAUAAAUCUGAUGGGAACGUUAGAUUGGUGCAAGUUCAAUGAACAUGUUACGUUCUUUUUAGGAAAAUAAACUUUACUCGUUAUGCCUAAUGAAUAUAAUAUUUAUUCGAUUUAGUAUAUAUUUUAUCAUGUUGAGA